rnacentral:rRNA from 1 species
GACGAACGCUGGCGGCGUGCCUAAUACAUGCAAGUCGAGCGGACCACUUCGGUGGUCAGCGGCGGACGGGUGAGUAACACGUGGGCAACCUGCCUGUAAGACUGGGAUAACACCGGGAAACCGGUGCUAAUACCGGAUAAUCCUUUCCUUCACAUGAAGGGAAGCUGAAAGACGGUUUCGGCUGUCACUUACAGAUGGGCCCGCGGCGCAUUAGCUAGUUGGUGCGGUAACGGCUCACCAAGGCCACGAUGCGUAGCCGACCGGAGAGGGUGAUGGGCCACACGGGGACUGAGACACGGCCCAGACUCGUGCGGGAGGCAGCAGUAGGGAAUCUUCCGCAAUGGACGAAAGUCUGACGGAGCAACGCCGCGUGAGCGAUGAAGGCCUUCGGGUCGUAAAGCUCUGUUGUCAGGGAAGAACAAGUACCGGAGUAACUGCCGGUACCUUGACGGUACCUGACCAGAAAGCCACGGCUAACUACGUGCCAGCCGCCGCAGUAAGAC